GCAGACCACCGAAGAGGCAACAUGUAAGCUGUCACACUGAGAAAGGACUGCUGCCUCCCCGGUAUCUGCCCUGAAUCUCAAAUAAUUGUCCAGGGCUCUGGCAGCUUUGACACUAGCCCGUCUGGAUCCUGACUCAAGUUCCAAGAGAAGCAGGAAGAAAAAGUGGCGUCAAAGAAGGAGAGGAAGAAGAAAAGAACAGGAAGCCGACCAGAAGAAACAUAGCAGCCGCAGAAAUAUGUUCUAUUCCCUGGGAUUUCUUGACCUUGCUUGAGUGAAGGUCAAAGUGUCAUCACCUACAGUGACCAUUUUGUGAUGUCACAAGACCUCUUAGGUGACCCAUCAUCCCAGCAACACCAACACACACACAUUGCACUCUAUGUACUCAGGAAAAAAUCUACACAGGCCAGCAGACUGAAUUUUUUUUAUGAGCAUUUGUAUUUUGCCUCCAUGUAUGUCUAUAUGAGAAACCCUGGAACUGGAGUUACAAGCGGCUGUGAGCUGCCGUGUGGCAACUGGGAAUUGAACCCGGACCCUCUGGAAGAGCCGCCAGCGCUCUUAACCGCUGAGCGGUCUCUCCAGCCCCCAGCAGACUGAACUCUAAGAGCACUUUUCCCCUUGGCAUCCCAGUUUGUCCCCAGGAGGAGAGAGGUAACAAAAGAUACAUAAUCACUCCCCGGGGUCUCCAUGGCCUUGUCCCAGGGAGGUCCCCGUACACUAUAGUUAGUUACCUGUGAG